CCUACGGGAGGCUGCAGUGGGGAAUAUUGGACAAUGGGGGCAACCCUGAUCCAGCCAUGCCGCGUGUGUGAAGAAGGCCCUCGGGUUGUAAAGCACUUUCAGUGAGGAAGAACGCCUGGUGGUUAAUACCCAUCAGGAAAGACAUCACUCACAGAAGAAGCACCGGCUAUCUCCGUGCCAGCAGCCGCGGUAAUACGGAGGGUGCGAGCGUUAAUCGGAAUUACUGGGCGUAAAGCGCGCGUAGGUGGCUUGAUAAGCCGGUUGUGAAAGCCCCGGGCUCAACCUGGGAACGGCAUCCGGAACUGUCAAGCUAGAGUGCAGGAGAGGAAGGUAGAAUUCCCGGUGUAGCGGUGAAAUGCGUAGAGAUCGGGAGGAAUACCAGUGGCGAAGGCGGCCUUCUGGACUGACACUGACACUGAGGUGCGAAAGCGUGGGUAGCAAACAGGAUUAGAUACCCUAGUAGUU
rnacentral:rRNA from 1 species